GCAUCGGUGGUUCAGUGGGAGGGUUCUUGCCUUUCAUGCAGGAGACCUGGGGUUAGAUUCCUGGCUGCUGUA
rfam:Loxodonta africana unplaced genomic scaffold scaffold_4, whole genome shotgun sequence.